GUAGGGAAUCUUCCACAAUGGACGCAAGUCUGAUGGAGCAACGCCGCGUGAGUGAAGAAGGUCUUCGGAUCGUAAAGCUCUGUUGUUGGUGAAGAAGGAUAGAGGCAGUAACUGGUCUUUAUUUGACGGUAAUCAACCAGAAAGUCACGGCUAACUACGUGCCAGCAGCCGCGGUAAUACGUAGGUGGCAAGCGUUGUCCGGAUUUAUUGGGCGUAAAGCGAGCGCAGGCGGAAUGAUAAGUCUGAUGUGAAAGCCCACGGCUCAACCGUGGAACUGCAUCGGAAACUGUCAUUCUUGAGUGCAGAAGAGGAGAGUGGAACUCCAUGUGUAGCGGUGGAAUGCGUAGAUAUAUGGAAGAACACCAGUGGCGAAGGCGGCUCUCUGGUCUGCAACUGACGCUGAGGCUCGAAAGCAUGGGUAGCGAACAGGAUUAGAUACCCUGGUAGUCCAUGCCGUAAACGAUGAGCGCUAGGUGUUGGGGACUUUCCGGUCCUCAGUGCCGCAGCAAAUCGCUUAAGCGCUCCGCCUGGGGAUACGACCGCAAGGUUGAACCUAGUGAAUUGACGGGGUCA
rnacentral:rRNA from 1 species